rnacentral:rRNA from 1 species
UACAGAGGUCUCAAGCGCUGUUCGGAUUCAUUGGGCGUAAAGGGUGCGUAGGCGGCGCGGUAAGUCGGGGGGGAAAUCUCGGGGCUUAACUCCGAAACUGCAUUCGAUACUACCGUGCUUGAGGACUGGAGAGGAGACUGGAAUUUACGGUGUAGCGGUGAAAUGCGUAGAUAUCGUAAGGAAGACCAGUGGCGAAGGCGGGUCUCUGGACAGUUCCUGACGCUGAGGCACGAAGGCCAGGGGAGCAAACGGG